rnacentral:rRNA from 1 species
GACGAACGCUGGCGGCGUGCUUAACACAUGCAAGUCGAACGGACAGACAGAGAGGUUGCUCUCUUGAAGUUAGUGGCGAACGGGUGAGUAACGCGUAAUCAACCUGCCCUUCAGAGGGGGAUAACAACGGGAAACCGUUGCUAAUACCGCGUACGCUUAAUGAACGGCAUCGUUUAUGAAUGAAAGGUGGCCUCUAUGCAUAAGCUAUCGCUGAAUGAGGGGAUUGCGUCUGAUUAGCUAGUUGGGGGGGUAACGGCCCACCAAGGCAAUGAUCAGUAGCCGGUCUGAGAGGAUGAACGGCCACAUUGGGACUGAGACACGGCCCAAACUCCUACGGGAGGCAGCAGUGGGGAAUCUUCCGCAAUGGACGAAAGUCUGACGGAGCAACGCCGCGUGAGUGAUGAAGGUCUUCGGAUUGUAAAGCUCUGUUAAUCGGGACGAAAGAGUUCUGCGUGAAUAAUGCAGAAAAGUGACGGUACCGGAAUAGAAAGCCACGGCUAACUACGUGCCAGCCGCCGCAGUAA